AAAGCAAAUGUGUUUGGCACAACAAAGCAUUCAGACCAUGAUUCUGCCUACAGGACAGGUUUAAAAAAUAAAAAAUAAAAGACAUUUGUAACGUCACCUCCGAAACAGGUUAGUUUGUAGCAUAAGUUGCCAUGGUGAUAUACCCGGUAAAAAACUGAAUCACCUUCGUCGUACUGAAAACCCGGACUUAACCCUAAAGGUACCCGGAUAAGAUUAAAUCCUGCUUUGUAGUGCAGGCCUCUGGUAGCCUGCUACCACUCAAUCAAGAACCGCGACCUUUGAACAGCAGCAUCAUGUGAGCUUUCAGCCGUCCAGCUGCUAUCAGUCAAACACUGACUCAUUCGCUAAGAAGUAAUGAACAAGGGCGGAUGGAGAUAAAACCCACCUGUAUCCUGGCAAAGACUAAAAGAUUGAAUCGACGCCCUUGUGGAUGACCCCAGGUGUCUAAUUCAGAAAUGCUUGCAGGGUGGUCAGGAGCCGCGCUGAGCCUUGGAUCACAUAGUUUGUACCAGGCAGAUAACCCUGACGGUGACCCCGGGCGCUGCCUCAAACCUCUGUGCCUUCGUCCAUCCUUUUGGCCUCGUCCUUUCUCCAGAACAUCACGCUCGCAAACACUUAACCCUCCGCUAGUUCCAUAUUUAAAGAGAGAGAAACUGCAGGAGUAAAAUUGUACUUAAUAAUACAAGUUAGAGUCAAAAAGGAAUGAAAUUCUGUAUUCAAGCCAGCAGAGAUGUAAGAUGAAGGCUUUGUGAUUCCUGCUUUCAAAUACGAAAAAUGGCAGAUGAAAGAUAAUGGUCACACAGAGAUAACUGCAGUAAUUGAAAUAAUAACCCACACAAUUUGUCUAUUUUUUUUUUAACCGUGUUUCUUUUGAUACUGGUUUCAAGCACUUUUACAGAUGGUUUCUUGACAGGCUGCCAACUGAAUCAUUUAAUCUCUGUGAGCACAAGGAGAAGGCCGCCAAGCACAGCCAGUUCUGCUGUGAAGCUCCGGCCUUCAACUGAGGAAACUUUGGGUUGAAGGUGGUUUCCCUGAAAGCUCCUUCAGCCCGCGCCUGUCUUCACAGGAAGAUUUGGAUUGUAUGUUAGCUCAAGGAGGCCACCUUGAGUAUGGCCCAUAACUUGGCAGUGACACAUCAAGACUAGAAGAACCCAACAGUGUUAACUGUGUUUCAUUCAGAUGUACUUAGCUGCUUAACCCUGUGAUUAUUUAACUGAUGCUUUUUGCAUCAGGAACGAAAAUUAUUGUAUUUGAAGUUAAAGAAAGAAGCUGCGUGAUGGGUGAAAGAGGUGAAUCCCUUAACUGUAUGGAUGUGGAAGUCCACAGCAGCA